rnacentral:lncRNA from 1 species
UGAAUUUUCGAGACCUUCGGCACCGUUCUAAGAUGGGUCCUCUCUUCGUAGGCUAAUGCAUUGGCCCUUUUUGACCCGUUUUGGGGCGAAAACAAAAACUGACUCCCGGGCGUAUUUUUUUUCGGCCUUUAUGGGCAGAGAACUUUAAUACCGCUCAAAAUGAGGCCACCCAGUAGUUAGGUGUGAAUUUUCGAGACCUUCGGCACCGUUCUAAGAUGGGUCCUCUCUUCGUAGGCUAAUGCAUUGGCCCUUUUUGACCCGUUUUGGGGCGAAAACAAAAACUGACUCCCGGGCGUAUUUUUUUUCGGCCUUUAUGGGCAGAGAACUUUAAUACCGCUCAAAAUGAGGCCACCCAGUAGUUAGGUGUGAAUUUUCGAGACCUUCGGCACCGUUCUAAGAUGGGUCCUCUCUUCGUAGGCUAAUGCAUUGGCCCUUUUUGACCCGUUUUGGGCGAAAACAAAAACUGACUCCCGGGCGUAUUUUUUUCGGCCUUUAUGGGCAGAGAACUUUAAUACCGCUCAAAAUGAGGCCACCCAGUAGUUAGGUGUGAAUUUUCGAGACCUUCGGCACCGUUCUAAGAUGGGUCCUCUCUUCGUAGGCUAAUGCAUUGGCCCUUUUUGACCCGUUUUGGGGCGAAAACAAAAACUGACUCCCGGGCGUAUUUUUUUCGGCCUUUAUGGGCAGAGAACUUUAAUACCGCUCAAAUGAGGCCACCCAGUAGUUAGGUGUGAAUUUUCGAGACCUUCGGCACCGUUCUAAGAUGGGUCCUCUCUUCGUAGGCUAAUGCAUUGGCCCUUUUUGACCCGUUUUGGGGCGAAAACAAAAACUGACUCCCGGGCGUAUUUUUUUCGGCCUUUAUGGGCAGAGAACUUUAAUACCGCUCAAAAUGAGGCCACCCAGUAGUUAGGUGUGAAUUUUCGAGACCUUCGGCACCGUUCUAAGAUGGGUCCUCUCUUCGUAGGCUAAUGCAUUGGCCCUUUUUGACCCGUUUUGGGGCGAAAACAAAAACUGACUCCCGGGCGUAUUUUUUUCGGCCUUUAUGGGCAGAGAACUUUAAUACCGCUCAAAAUGAGGCCACCCAGUAGUUAGGUGUGAAUUUUCGAGACCUUCGGCACCGUUCUAAGAUGGGUCCUCUCUUCGUAGGCUAAUGCAUUGGCCCUUUUUGACCCGUUUUGGGGCGAAAACAAAAACUGACUCCCGGGCGUAUUUUUUUCGGCCUUUAUGGGCAGAGAACUUUAAUACCGCUCAAAAUGAGGCCACCCAGUAGUUAGGUGUGAAUUUUCGAGACCUUCGGCACCGUUCUAAGAUGGGUCCUCUCUUCGUAGGCUAAUGCAUUGGCCUUUUUGACCCGUUUUGGGGCGAAAACAAAAACUGACUCCCGGGCGUAUUUUUUUCGGCCUUUAUGGGCAGAGAACUUUAAUACCCAAAAUGAGGCCACCCAGUAGUUAGGUGUGAAUUUUCGAGACCUUCGGCACCGUUCUAAGAUGGGUCCUCUCUUCGUAGGCUAAUGCAUUGGCCCUUUUUGACCCGUUUUGGGGCGAAAACAAAAACUGACUCCGGGCGUAUUUUUUUCGGCCUUUAUGGGCAGAGAACUUUAAUACCGCUCAAAAUGAGGCCACCCAGUAGUUAGGUGUGAAUUUUCGAGACCUUCGGCACCGUUCUAAGAUGGGUCCUCUCUUCGUAGGCUAAUGCAUUGGCCCUUUUUGACCCGUUUUGGGGCGAAAACAAAAACUGACUCCCGGGCGUAUUUUUUUCGGCCUUUAUGGGCAGAGAACUUUAAUACCGCUCAAAAUGAGGCCACCCAGUAGUUAGGUGUGAAUUUUCGAGACCUUCGGCACCGUUCUAAGAUGGGUCCUCUCUUCGUAGGCUAAUGCAUUGGCCCUUUUUGACCCGUUUUGGGGCGAAAACAAAAACUGACUCCCGGGCGUAUUUUUUUCGGCCUUUAUGGGCAGAGAACUUUAAUACCGCUCAAAAUGAGGCCACCCAGUAGUUAGGUGUGAAUUUUCGAGACCUUCGGCACCGUUCUAAGAUGGGUCCUCUCUUCGUAGGCUAAUGCAUUGGCCCUUUUUGACCCGUUUUGGGCGAAAACAAAAACUGACUCCCGGGCGUAUUUUUUUCGGCCUUUAUGGGCAGAGAACUUUAAUACCGCUCAAAAUGAGGCCACCCAGUAGUUAGGUGUGAAUUUUCGAGACCUUCGGCACCGUUCUAAGAUGGGUCCUCUCUUCGUAGGCUAAUGCAUUGGCCCUUUUUGACCCGUUUUGGGGCGAAAACAAAAACUGACUCCCGGGCGUAUUUUUUUCGGCCUUUAUGGGCAGAGAACUUUAAUACCGCUCAAAAUGAGGCCACCCAGUAGUUAGGUGUGAAUUUUCGAGACCUUCGGCACCGUUCUAAGAUGGGUCCUCUCUUCGUAGGCUAAUGCAUUGGCCCUUUUUGACCCGUUUUGGGGCGAAAACAAAAACUGACUCCCGGGCGUAUUUUUUUCGGCCUUUAUGGGCAGAGAACUUUAAUACCGCUCAAAAUGAGGCCACCCAGUAGUUAGGUGUGAAUUUUCGAGACCUUCGGCACCGUUCUAAGAUGGGUCCUCUCUUCGUAGGCUAAUGCAUUGGCCCUUUUUGACCCGUUUUGGGCGAAAACAAAAACUGACUCCGGGCGUAUUUUUUUCGGCCUUUAUGGGCAGAGAACUUUAAUACCGCUCAAAAUGAGGCCACCCAGUAGUUAGGUGUGAAUUUUCGAGACCUUUGGCACCGUUCUAAGAUGGGUCCUCUCUUCGUAGGCUAAUGCAUUGGCCCUUUUUGGGGCGAAAACAAAAACUGACUCCCGGCGUAUUUUUUUCGGCCUUUAUGGGCAGAGAACUUUAAUACCGCUCAAAAUGAGGCCACCCAGUAGUUAGGUGUGAAUUUUCGAGACCUUCGGCACCGUUCUAAGAUGGGUCCUCUCUUCGUAGGCUAAUGCAUUGGCCCUUUUUGACCCGUUUUGGGGCGAAAACAAAAACUGACUCCCGGGCGUAUUUUUUUCGGCCUUUAUGGGCAGAGAACUUUAAUACCGCUCAAAAUGAGGCCACCCAGUAGUUAGGUGUGAAUUUUCGAGACCUUCGGCACCGUUCUAAGAUGGGUCCUCUCUUCGUAGGCUAAUGCAUUGGCCCUGUUUUGGGACCUUAGGUGUGAAUUUUCGAGACCUUGGCACCGUUCUAAGAUGGGUCCUCUCUUCGUAGGCUAAUGCAUUGGCCCUUUUUGACCCGUUUUGGGGCGAAAACAAAAACUGACUCCCGGGCGUAUUUUUUUCGGCCUUUAUGGGCAGAGAACUUUAAUACCGCUCAAAUGAGGCCACCCAGUAGUUAGGUGUGAAUUUUCGAGACCUUUGGCACCGUUCUAAGAUGGGUCCUCUCUUCGUAGGCUAAUGCAUUGGCCCUUUUUGACCCGUUUUGGGGCGAAAACAAAAACUGACUCCCGGGCGUAUUUUUUUCGGCCUUUAUGGGCAGAGAACUUUAAUACCGCUCAAAAUGAGGCCACCCAGUAGUUAGGUGUGAAUUUUCGAGACCUUGGCACCGUUCUAAGAUGGGUCCUCUCUUCGUAGGCUAAUGCAUUGGCCCUUUUUGACCCGUUUUGGGGCGAAAACAAAAACUGACUCCCGGGCAUAUUUUUUUCGGCCUUUAUGGGCAGAGAACUUUAAUACCGCUCAAAAUGAGGCCACCCAGUAGUUAGGUGUGAAUUUUCGAGACCUUUGGCACCGUUCUAAGAUGGGUCCUCUCUUCGUAGGCUAAUGCAUUGGCCCUUUUUGACCCGUUUUGGGGCGAAAACAAAAACUGACUCCCGGGCAUAUUUUUUUCGGCCUUUAUGGGCAGAGAACUUUAAUACCGCUCAAAAUGAGGCCACCCAGUAGUUAGGUGUGAAUUUUCGAGACCUUUGGCACCGUUCUAAGAUGGGUCCUCUCUUCGUAGGCUAAUGCAUUGGCCCUUUUUGACCCGUUUUGGGGCGAAAACAAAAACUGACUCCCGGGCAUAUUUUUUUCGGCCUUUAUGGGCAGAGAACUUUAAUACCGCUCAAAAUGAGGCCACCCAGUAGUUAGGUGUGAAUUUUCGAGACCUUUGGCACCGUUCUAAGAUGGGUCCUCUCUUCGUAGGCUAAUGCAUUGGCCCUUUUUGACCCGUUUUGGGGCGAAAACAAAAACUGACUCCCGGGCAUAUUUUUUUCGGCCUUUAUGGGCAGAGAACUUUAAUACCGCUCAAAAUGAGGCCACCCAGUAGUUAGGUGUGAAUUUUCGAGACCUUUGGCACCGUUCUAAGAUGGGUCCUCUCUUCGUAGGCUAAUGCAUUGGCCCUUUUUGACCCGUUUUGGGGCGAAAACAAAAACUGACUCCCGGGCAUAUUUUUUUCGGCCUUUAUGGGCAGAGAACUUUAAUACCGCUCAAAAUGAGGCCACCCAGUAGUUAGGUGUGAAUUUUCGAGACCUUUGGCACCGUUCUAAGAUGGGUCCUCUCUUCGUAGGCUAAUGCAUUGGCCCUUUUUGACCCGUUUUGGGGCGAAAACAAAAACUGACUCCCGGGCAUAUUUUUUUCGGCCUUUAUGGGCAGAGAACUUUAAUACCGCUCAAAAUGAGGCCACCCAGUAGUUAGGUGUGAAUUUUCGAGACCUUUGGCACCGUUCUAAGAUGGGUCCUCUCUUCGUAGGCUAAUGCAUUGGCCCUUUUUGACCCGUUUUGGGGCGAAAACAAAAACUGACUCCCGGGCAUAUUUUUUUCGGCCUUUAUGGGCAGAGAACUUUAAUACCGCUCAAAAUGAGGCCACCCAGUAGUUAGGUGUGAAUUUUCGAGACCUUUGGCACCGUUCUAAGAUGGGUCCUCUCUUCGUAGGCUAAUGCAUUGGCCCUUUUUGACCCGUUUUGGGGCGAAAACAAAAACUGACUCCCGGGCAUAUUUUUUUCGGCCUUUAUGGGCAGAGAACUUUAAUACCGCUCAAAAUGAGGCCACCCAGUAGUUAGGUGUGAAUUUUCGAGACCUUUGGCACCGUUCUAAGAUGGGUCCUCUCUUCGUAGGCUAAUGCAUUGGCCCUUUUUGACCCGUUUUGGGGCGAAAACAAAAACUGACUCCCGGGCAUAUUUUUUUCGGCCUUUAUGGGCAGAGAACUUUAAUACCGCUCAAAAUGAGGCCACCCAGUAGUUAGGUGUGAAUUUUCGAGACCUUUGGCACCGUUCUAAGAUGGGUCCUCUCUUCGUAGGCUAAUGCAUUGGCCCUUUUUGACCCGUUUUGGGGCGAAAACAAAAACUGACUCCCGGGCAUAUUUUUUUCGGCCUUUAUGGGCAGAGAACUUUAAUACCGCUCAAAAUGAGGCCACCCAGUAGUUAGGUGUGAAUUUUCGAGACCUUUGGCACCGUUCUAAGAUGGGUCCUCUCUUCGUAGGCUAAUGCAUUGGCCCUUUUUGACCCGUUUUGGGGCGAAAACAAAAACUGACUCCCGGCAUAUUUUUUUCGGCCUUUAUGGGCAGAGAACUUUAAUACCGCUCGAAAUGAGGCCACCCAGUAGUUAGGUGUGAAUUUUCGAGACCUUUGGCACCGUUCUAAGAUGGGUCCUCUCUUCGUAGGCUAAUGCAUUGGCCCUUUUUGACCCGUUUUGGGGCGAAAACAAAAACUGACUCCCGGGCAUAUUUUUUUCGGCCUUUAUGGGCAGAGAACUUUAAUACCGCUCAAAAUGAGGCCACCCAGUAGUUAGGUGUGAAUUUUCGAGACCUUUGGCACCGUUCUAAGAUGGGUCCUCUCUUCGUAGGCUAAUGCAUUGGCCCUUUUUGACCCGUUUUGGGGCGAAAACAAAAACUGACUCCCGGGCAUAUUUUUUUCGGCCUUUAUGGGCAGAGAACUUUAAUACCGCUCAAAAUGAGGCCACCCAGUAGUUAGGUGUGAAUUUUCGAGACCUUUGGCACCGUUCUAAGAUGGGUCCUCUCUUCGUAGGCUAAUGCAUUGGCCCUUUUUGACCCGUUUUGGGGCGAAAACAAAAACUGACUCCCGGGCAUAUUUUUUUCGGCCUUUAUGGGCAGAGAACUUUAAUACCGCUCAAAAUGAGGCCACCCAGUAGUUAGGUGUGAAUUUUCGAGACCUUUGGCACCGUUCUAAGAUGGGUCCUCUCUUCGUAGGCUAAUGCAUUGGCCCUUUUUGACCCGUUUUGGGGCGAAAACAAAAACUGACUCCCGGGCAUAUUUUUUUCGGCCUUUAUGGGCAGAGAACUUUAAUACCGCUCGAAAUGAGGCCACCCAGUAGUUAGGUGUGAAUUUUCGAGACCUUUGGCACCGUUCUAAGAUGGGUCCUCUCUUCGUAGGCUAAUGCAUUGGCCCUUUUUGACCCGUUUUGGGGCGAAAACAAAAACUGACUCCCGGGCAUAUUUUUUUCGGCCUUUAUGGGCAGAGAACUUUAAUACCGCUCAAAAUGAGGCCACCCAGUAGUUAGGUGUGAAUUUUCGAGACCUUUGGCACCGUUCUAAGAUGGGUCCUCUCUUCGUAGGCUAAUGCAUUGGCCCUUUUUGACCCGUUUUGGGGCGAAAACAAAAACUGACUCCCGGGCAUAUUUUUUUCGGCCUUUAUGGGCAGAGAACUUUAAUGCCGCUCGGAAUGAGGCCACCCAGUAGUUAGGUGUGAAUUUUCGAGACCUUUGGCACCGUUCUAAGAUGGGUCCUCUCUUCGUAGGCUAAUGCAUUGGCCCUUUUUGACCCGUUUUGGGGCGAAAACAAAAACUGACUCCCGGGCAUAUUUUUUUUCGGCCUUUAUGGGCAGAGAACUUUAAUGCCGCUCGGAAUGAGGCCACCCAGUAGUUAGGUGUGAAUUUUCGAGACCUUUGGCACCGUUCUAAGAUGGGUCCUCUCUUCGUAGGCUAAUGCAUUGGCCCUUUUUGACCCGUUUUGGGGCGAAAACAAAAACUGACUCCCGGGCAUAUUUUUUUCGGCCUUUAUGGGCAGAGAACUUUAAUGCCGCUCAGAAUGAGGCCACCCAGUAGUUAGGUGUGAAUUUUCGAGACCUUUGGCACCGUUCUAAGAUGGGUCCUCUCUUCGUAGGCUAAUGCAUUGGCCCUUUUUGACCCGUUUUGGGGCGAAAACAAAAACUGACUCCCGGGCAUAUUUUUUUUCGGCCUUUAUGGGCAGAGAACUUUAAUGCCGCUCAGAAUGAGGCCACCCAGUAGUUAGGUGUGAAUUUUCGAGACCUUUGGCACCGUUCUAAGAUGGGUCCUCUCUUCGUAGGCUAAUGCAUUGGCCCUUUUUGACCCGUUUUGGGGCGAAAACAAAAACUGACUCCCGGGCAUAUUUUUUUCGGCCUUUAUGGGCAGAGAACUUUAAUGCCGCUCGGAAUGAGGCCACCCAGUAGUUAGGUGUGAAUUUUCGAGACCUUUGGCACCGUUCUAAGAUGGGUCCUCUCUUCGUAGGCUAAUGCAUUGGCCCUUUUUGACCCGUUUUGGGGCGAAAACAAAAACUGACUCCCGGGCAUAUUUUUUUCGGCCUUUAUGGGCAGAGAACUUUAAUGCCGCUCGGAAUGAGGCCACCCAGUAGUUAGGUGUGAAUUUUCGAGACCUUUGGCACCGUUCUAAGAUGGGUCCUCUCUUCGUAGGCUAAUGCAUUGGCCCUUUUUUGACCCGUUUUGGGGCGAAAACAAAAACUGACUCCCGGGCAUAUUUUUUUCGGCCUUUAUGGGCAGAGAACUUUAAUGCCGCUCAGAAUGAGGCCACCCAGUAGUUAGGUGUGAAUUUUCGAGACCUUUGGCACCGUUCUAAGAUGGGUCCUCUCUUCGUAGGCUAAUGCAUUGGCCCUUUUUGACCCGUUUUGGGGCGAAAACAAAAACUGACUCCCGGGCAUAUUUUUUUCGGCCUUUAUGGGCAGAGAACUUUAAUGCCGCUCAGAAUGAGGCCACCCAGUAGUUAGGUGUGAAUUUUCGAGACCUUUGGCACCGUUCUAAGAUGGGUCCUCUCUUCGUAGGCUAAUGCAUUGGCCCUUUUUGACCCGUUUUGGGGCGAAAACAAAAACUGACUCCCGGGCAUAUUUUUUUCGGCCUUUAUGGGCAGAGAACUUUAAUGCCGCUCAGAAUGAGGCCACCCAGUAGUUAGGUGUGAAUUUUCGAGACCUUUGGCACCGUUCUAAGAUGGGUCCUCUCUUCGUAGGCUAAUGCAUUGGCCCUUUUUGACCCGUUUUGGGGCGAAAACAAAAACUGACUCCCGGGCAUAUUUUUUUCGGCCUUUAUGGGCAGAGAACUUUAAUGCCGCUCAGAAUGAGGCCACCCAGUAGUUAGGUGUGAAUUUUCGAGACCUUUGGCACCGUUCUAAGAUGGGUCCUCUCUUCGUAGGCUAAUGCAUUGGCCCUUUUUGACCCGUUUUGGGGCGAAAACAAAAACUGACUCCCGGGCAUAUUUUUUUUCGGCCUUUAUGGGCAGAGAACUUUAAUGCCGCUCAGAAUGAGGCCACCCAGUAGUUAGGUGUGAAUUUUCGAGACCUUUGGCACCGUUCUAAGAUGGGUCCUCUCUUCGUAGGCUAAUGCAUUGGCCCUUUUUGACCCGUUUUGGGGCGAAAACAAAAACUGACUCCCGGGCAUAUUUUUUUCGGCCUUUAUGGGCAGAGAACUUUAAUGCCGCUCAGAAUGAGGCCACCCAGUAGUUAGGUGUGAAUUUUCGAGACCUCUGGCACCGUUCUAAGAUGGGUCCUCUCUUCGUAGGCUAAUGCAUUGGCCCUUUUUGACCCGUUUUGGGGCGAAAACAAAAACUGACUCCCGGGCAUAUUUUUUUCGGCCUUUAUGGGCAGAGAACUUUAAUGCCGCUCAGAAUGAGGCCACCCAGUAGUUAGGUGUGAAUUUUCGAGACCUCUGGCACCGUUCUAAGAUGGGUCCUCUCUUCGUAGGCUAAUGCAUUGGCCCUUUUUGACCCGUUUUGGGGCGAAAACAAAAACUGACUCCCGGGCAUAUUUUUUUCGGCCUUUAUGGGCAGAGAACUUUAAUGCCGCUCAGAAUGAGGCCACCCAGUAGUUAGGUGUGAAUUUUCGAGACCUCUGGCACCGUUCUAAGAUGGGUCCUCUCUUCGUAGGCUAAUGCAUUGGCCCUUUUUGACCCGUUUUGGGGCGAAAACAAAAACUGACUCCCGGGCAUAUUUUUUUCGGCCUUUAUGGGCAGAGAACUUUAAUGCCGCUCAGAAUGAGGCCACCCAGUAGUUAGGUGUGAAUUUUCGAGACCUCUGGCACCGUUCUAAGAUGGGUCCUCUCUUCGUAGGCUAAUGCAUUGGCCCUUUUUGACCCGUUUUGGGGCGAAAACAAAAACUGACUCCCGGGCAUAUUUUUUUCGGCCUUUAUGGGCAGAGAACUUUAAUGCCGCUCAGAAUGAGGCCACCCAGUAGUUAGGUGUGAAUUUUCGAGACCUCUGGCACCGUUCUAAGAUGGGUCCUCUCUUCGUAGGCUAAUGCAUUGGCCCUUUUUGACCCGUUUUGGGGCGAAAACAAAAACUGACUCCCGGGCAUAUUUUUUUCGGCCUUUAUGGGCAGAGAACUUUAAUGCCGCUCAGAAUGAGGCCACCCAGUAGUUAGGUGUGAAUUUUCGAGACCUCUGGCACCGUUCUAAGAUGGGUCCUCUCUUCGUAGGCUAAUGCAUUGGCCCUUUUUGACCCGUUUUGGGGCGAAAACAAAAACUGACUCCCGGGCAUAUUUUUUUCGGCCUUUAUGGGCAGAGAACUUUAAUGCCGCUCAGAAUGAGGCCACCCAGUAGUUAGGUGUGAAUUUUCGAGACCUCUGGCACCGUUCUAAGAUGGGUCCUCUCUUCGUAGGCUAAUGCAUUGGCCCUUUUUGACCCGUUUUGGGGCGAAAACAAAAACUGACUCCCGGGCAUAUUUUUUUCGGCCUUUAUGGGCAGAGAACUUUAAUGCCGCUCAGAAUGAGGCCACCCAGUAGUUAGGUGUGAAUUUUCGAGACCUCUGGCACCGUUCUAAGAUGGGUCCUCUCUUCGUAGGCUAAUGCAUUGGCCCUUUUUGACCCGUUUUGGGGCGAAAACAAAAACUGACUCCCGGGCAUAUUUUUUUCGGCCUUUAUGGGCAGAGAACUUUAAUGCCGCUCAGAAUGAGGCCACCCAGUAGUUAGGUGUGAAUUUUCGAGACCUCUGGCACCGUUCUAAGAUGGGUCCUCUCUUCGUAGGCUAAUGCAUUGGCCCUUUUUGACCCGUUUUGGGGCGAAAACAAAAACUGACUCCCGGGCAUAUUUUUUUCGGCCUUUUAUGGGCAGAGAACUUUAAUGCCGCUCAGAAUGAGGCCACCCAGUAGUUAGGUGUGAAUUUUCGAGACCUCUGGCACCGUUCUAAGAUGGGUCCUCUCUUCGUAGGCUAAUGCAUUGGCCCUUUUUGACCCGUUUUGGGGCGAAAACAAAAACUGACUCCCGGGCAUAUUUUUUUCGGCCUUUAUGGGCAGAGAACUUUAAUGCCGCUCAGAAUGAGGCCACCCAGUAGUUAGGUGUGAAUUUUCGAGACCUCUGGCACCGUUCUAAGAUGGGUCCUCUCUUCGUAGGCUAAUGCAUUGGCCCUUUUUGACCCGUUUUGGGGCGAAAACAAAAACUGACUCCCGGGCAUAUUUUUUUCGGCCUUUAUGGGCAGAGAACUUUAAUGCCGCUCAGAAUGAGGCCACCCAGUAGUUAGGUGUGAAUUUUCGAGACCUCUGGCACCGUUCUAAGAUGGGUCCUCUCUUCGUAGGCUAAUGCAUUGGCCCUUUUUGACCCGUUUUGGGGCGAAAACAAAAACUGACUCCCGGGCAUAUUUUUUUCGGCCUUUAUGGGCAGAGAACUUUAAUGCCGCUCAGAAUGAGGCCACCCAGUAGUUAGGUGUGAAUUUUCGAGACCUCUGGCACCGUUCUAAGAUGGGUCCUCUCUUCGUAGGCUAAUGCAUUGGCCCUUUUUGACCCGUUUUGGGGCGAAAACAAAAACUGACUCCCGGGCAUAUUUUUUUCGGCCUUUAUGGGCAGAGAACUUUAAUGCCGCUCAGAAUGAGGCCACCCAGUAGUUAGGUGUGAAUUUUCGAGACCUCUGGCACCGUUCUAAGAUGGGUCCUCUCUUCGUAGGCUAAUGCAUUGGCCCUUUUUGACCCGUUUUGGGGCGAAAAAAAAAAACUGACUCCCGGGCAUAUUUUUUUCGGCCUUUAUGGGCAGAGAACUUUAAUGCCGCUCAGAAUGAGGCCACCCAGUAGUUAGGUGUGAAUUUUCGAGACCUCUGGCACCGUUCUAAGAUGGGUCCUCUCUUCGUAGGCUAAUGCAUUGGCCCUUUUUGACCCGUUUUGGGGCGAAAACAAAAACUGACUCCCGGGCAUAUUUUUUUCGGCCUUUAUGGGCAGAGAACUUUAAUGCCGCUCAGAAUGAGGCCACCCAGUAGUUAGGUGUGAAUUUUCGAGACCUCUGGCACCGUUCUAAGAUGGGUCCUCUCUUCGUAGGCUAAUGCAUUGGCCCUUUUUGACCCGUUUUGGGGCGAAAACAAAAACUGACUCCCGGGCAUAUUUUUUUCGGCCUUUAUGGGCAGAGAACUUUAAUGCCGCUCAGAAUGAGGCCACCCAGUAGUUAGGUGUGAAUUUUCGAGACCUCUGGCACCGUUCUAAGAUGGGUCCUCUCUUCGUAGGCUAAUGCAUUGGCCCUUUUUGACCCGUUUUGGGGCGAAAACAAAAACUGACUCCCGGGCAUAUUUUUUUCGGCCUUUAUGGGCAGAGAACUUUAAUGCCGCUCAGAAUGAGGCCACCCAGUAGUUAGGUGUGAAUUUUCGAGACCUCUGGCACCGUUCUAAGAUGGGUCCUCUCUUCGUAGGCUAAUGCAUUGGCCCUUUUUGACCCGUUUUGGGGCGAAAACAAAAACUGACUCCCGGGCAUAUUUUUUUCGGCCUUUAUGGGCAGAGAACUUUAAUGCCGCUCAGAAUGAGGCCACCCAGUAGUUAGGUGUGAAUUUUCGAGACCUCUGGCACCGUUCUAAGAUGGGUCCUCUCUUCGUAGGCUAAUGCAUUGGCCCUUUUUGACCCGUUUUGGGGCGAAAACAAAAACUGACUCCCGGGCAUAUUUUUUUCGGCCUUUAUGGGCAGAGAACUUUAAUGCCGCUCAGAAUGAGGCCACCCAGUAGUUAGGUGUGAAUUUUCGAGACCUCUGGCACCGUUCUAAGAUGGGUCCUCUCUUCGUAGGCUAAUGCAUUGGCCCUUUUUGACCCGUUUUGGGGCGAAAACAAAAACUGACUCCCGGGCAUAUUUUUUUCGGCCUUUAUGGGCAGAGAACUUUAAUACCGCUCAGAAUGAGGCCACCCAGUAGUUAGGUGUGAAUUUUCGAGACCUCUGGCACCGUUCUAAGAUGGGUCCUCUCUUCGUAGGCUAAUGCAUUGGCCCUUUUUGACCCGUUUUGGGGCGAAAACAAAAACUGACUCCCGGGCAUAUUUUUUUCGGCCUUUAUGGGCAGAGAACUUUAAUGCCGCUCAGAAUGAGGCCACCCAGUAGUUAGGUGUGAAUUUUCGAGACCUCUGGCACCGUUCUAAGAUGGGUCCUCUCUUCGUAGGCUAAUGCAUUGGCCCUUUUUGACCCGUUUUGGGGCGAAAACAAAAACUGACUCCCGGGCAUAUUUUUUUCGGCCUUUAUGGGCAGAGAACUUUAAUACCGCUCAGAAUGAGGCCACCCAGUAGUUAGGUGUGAAUUUUCGAGACCUCUGGCACCGUUCUAAGAUGGGUCCUCUCUUCGUAGGCUAAUGCAUUGGCCCUUUUUGACCCGUUUUGGGGCGAAAACAAAAACUGACUCCCGGGCAUAUUUUUUUCGGCCUUUAUGGGCAGAGAACUUUAAUACCGCUCAGAAUGAGGCCACCCAGUAGUUAGGUGUGAAUUUUCGAGACCUCUGGCACCGUUCUAAGAUGGGUCCUCUCUUCGUAGGCUAAUGCAUUGGCCCUUUUUGACCCGUUUUGGGGCGAAAACAAAAACUGACUCCCGGGCAUAUUUUUUUCGGCCUUUAUGGGCAGAGAACUUUAAUACCGCUCAGAAUGAGGCCACCCAGUAGUUAGGUGUGAAUUUUCGAGACCUCUGGCACCGUUCUAAGAUGGGUCCUCUCUUCGUAGGCUAAUGCAUUGGCCCUUUUUGACCCGUUUUGGGGCGAAAACAAAAACUGACUCCCGGGCAUAUUUUUUUCGGCCUUUAUGGGCAGAGAACUUUAAUACCGCUCAGAAUGAGGCCACCCAGUAGUUAGGUGUGAAUUUUCGAGACCUCUGGCACCGUUCUAAGAUGGGUCCUCUCUUCGUAGGCUAAUGCAUUGGCCCUUUUUGACCCGUUUUGGGGCGAAAACAAAAACUGACUCCCGGGCAUAUUUUUUUCGGCCUUUAUGGGCAGAGAACUUUAAUGCCGCUCAGAAUGAGGCCACCCAGUAGUUAGGUGUGAAUUUUCGAGACCUCUGGCACCGUUCUAAGAUGGGUCCUCUCUUCGUAGGCUAAUGCAUUGGCCCUUUUUGACCCGUUUUGGGGCGAAAACAAAAACUGACUCCCGGGCAUAUUUUUUUCGGCCUUUAUGGGCAGAGAACUUUAAUACCGCUCAGAAUGAGGCCACCCAGUAGUUAGGUGUGAAUUUUCGAGACCUCUGGCACCGUUCUAAGAUGGGUCCUCUCUUCGUAGGCUAAUGCAUUGGCCCUUUUUGACCCGUUUUGGGGCGAAAACAAAAACUGACUCCCGGGCAUAUUUUUUUCGGCCUUUAUGGGCAGAGAACUUUAAUGCCGCUCAGAAUGAGGCCACCCAGUAGUUAGGUGUGAAUUUUCGAGACCUCUGGCACCGUUCUAAGAUGGGUCCUCUCUUCGUAGGCUAAUGCAUUGGCCCUUUUUGACCCGUUUUGGGGCGAAAACAAAAACUGACUCCCGGGCAUAUUUUUUUCGGCCUUUAUGGGCAGAGAACUUUAAUGCCGCUCAGAAUGAGGCCACCCAGUAGUUAGGUGUGAAUUUUCGAGACCUCUGGCACCGUUCUAAGAUGGGUCCUCUCUUCGUAGGCUAAUGCAUUGGCCCUUUUUGACCCGUUUUGGGGCGAAAACAAAAACUGACUCCCGGGCAUAUUUUUUUCGGCCUUUAUGGGCAGAGAACUUUAAUACCGCUCAGAAUGAGGCCACCCAGUAGUUAGGUGUGAAUUUUCGAGACCUCUGGCACCGUUCUAAGAUGGGUCCUCUCUUCGUAGGCUAAUGCAUUGGCCCUUUUUGACCCGUUUUGGGGCGAAAACAAAAACUGACUCCCGGGCAUAUUUUUUUCGGCCUUUAUGGGCAGAGAACUUUAAUGCCGCUCAGAAUGAGGCCACCCAGUAGUUAGGUGUGAAUUUUCGAGACCUCUGGCACCGUUCUAAGAUGGGUCCUCUCUUCGUAGGCUAAUGCAUUGGCCCUUUUUGACCCGUUUUGGGGCGAAAACAAAAACUGACUCCCGGGCAUAUUUUUUUCGGCCUUUAUGGGCAGAGAACUUUAAUGCCGCUCAGAAUGAGGCCACCCAGUAGUUAGGUGUGAAUUUUCGAGACCUCUGGCACCGUUCUAAGAUGGGUCCUCUCUUCGUAGGCUAAUGCAUUGGCCCUUUUUGACCCGUUUUGGGGCGAAAACAAAAACUGACUCCCGGGCAUAUUUUUUUCGGCCUUUAUGGGCAGAGAACUUUAAUGCCGCUCAGAAUGAGGCCACCCAGUAGUUAGGUGUGAAUUUUCGAGACCUCUGGCACCGUUCUAAGAUGGGUCCUCUCUUCGUAGGCUAAUGCAUUGGCCCUUUUUGACCCGUUUUGGGGCGAAAACAAAAACUGACUCCCGGGCAUAUUUUUUUCGGCCUUUAUGGGCAGAGAACUUUAAUGCCGCUCAGAAUGAGGCCACCCAGUAGUUAGGUGUGAAUUUUCGAGACCUCUGGCACCGUUCUAAGAUGGGUCCUCUCUUCGUAGGCUAAUGCAUUGGCCCUUUUUGACCCGUUUUGGGGCGAAAACAAAAACUGACUCCCGGGCAUAUUUUUUUCGGCCUUUAUGGGCAGAGAACUUUAAUGCCGCUCAGAAUGAGGCCACCCAGUAGUUAGGUGUGAAUUUUCGAGACCUCUGGCACCGUUCUAAGAUGGGUCCUCUCUUCGUAGGCUAAUGCAUUGGCCCUUUUUGACCCGUUUUGGGGCGAAAACAAAAACUGACUCCCGGGCAUAUUUUUUUCGGCCUUUAUGGGCAGAGAACUUUAAUGCCGCUCAGAAUGAGGCCACCCAGUAGUUAGGUGUGAAUUUUCGAGACCUCUGGCACCGUUCUAAGAUGGGUCCUCUCUUCGUAGGCUAAUGCAUUGGCCCUUUUUGACCCGUUUUGGGGCGAAAACAAAAACUGACUCCCGGGCAUAUUUUUUUCGGCCUUUAUGGGCAGAGAACUUUAAUGCCGCUCAGAAUGAGGCCACCCAGUAGUUAGGUGUGAAUUUUCGAGACCUCUGGCACCGUUCUAAGAUGGGUCCUCUCUUCGUAGGCUAAUGCAUUGGCCCUUUUUGACCCGUUUUGGGGCGAAAACAAAAACUGACUCCCGGGCAUAUUUUUUUCGGCCUUUAUGGGCAGAGAACUUUAAUGCCGCUCAGAAUGAGGCCACCCAGUAGUUAGGUGUGAAUUUUCGAGACCUCUGGCACCGUUCUAAGAUGGGUCCUCUCUUCGUAGGCUAAUGCAUUGGCCCUUUUUGACCCGUUUUGGGGCGAAAACAAAAACUGACUCCCGGGCAUAUUUUUUUCGGCCUUUAUGGGCAGAGAACUUUAAUGCCGCUCAGAAUGAGGCCACCCAGUAGUUAGGUGUGAAUUUUCGAGACCUCUGGCACCGUUCUAAGAUGGGUCCUCUCUUCGUAGGCUAAUGCAUUGGCCCUUUUUGACCCGUUUUGGGGCGAAAACAAAAACUGACUCCCGGGCAUAUUUUUUUCGGCCUUUAUGGGCAGAGAACUUUAAUGCCGCUCAGAAUGAGGCCACCCAGUAGUUAGGUGUGAAUUUUCGAGACCUCUGGCACCGUUCUAAGAUGGGUCCUCUCUUCGUAGGCUAAUGCAUUGGCCCUUUUUGACCCGUUUUGGGGCGAAAACAAAAACUGACUCCCGGGCAUAUUUUUUUCGGCCUUUAUGGGCAGAGAACUUUAAUGCCGCUCAGAAUGAGGCCACCCAGUAGUUAGGUGUGAAUUUUCGAGACCUCUGGCACCGUUCUAAGAUGGGUCCUCUCUUCGUAGGCUAAUGCAUUGGCCCUUUUUGACCCGUUUUGGGGCGAAAACAAAAACUGACUCCCGGGCAUAUUUUUUUCGGCCUUUAUGGGCAGAGAACUUUAAUACCGCUCAGAAUGAGGCCACCCAGUAGUUAGGUGUGAAUUUUCGAGACCUCUGGCACCGUUCUAAGAUGGGUCCUCUCUUCGUAGGCUAAUGCAUUGGCCCUUUUUGACCCGUUUUGGGGCGAAAACAAAAACUGACUCCCGGGCAUAUUUUUUUCGGCCUUUAUGGGCAGAGAACUUUAAUGCCGCUCAGAAUGAGGCCACCCAGUAGUUAGGUGUGAAUUUUCGAGACCUCUGGCACCGUUCUAAGAUGGGUCCUCUCUUCGUAGGCUAAUGCAUUGGCCCUUUUUGACCCGUUUUGGGGCGAAAACAAAAACUGACUCCCGGGCAUAUUUUUUUCGGCCUUUAUGGGCAGAGAACUUUAAUACCGCUCAGAAUGAGGCCACCCAGUAGUUAGGUGUGAAUUUUCGAGACCUCUGGCACCGUUCUAAGAUGGGUCCUCUCUUCGUAGGCUAAUGCAUUGGCCCUUUUUGACCCGUUUUGGGGCGAAAACAAAAACUGACUCCCGGGCAUAUUUUUUUCGGCCUUUAUGGGCAGAGAACUUUAAUGCCGCUCAGAAUGAGGCCACCCAGUAGUUAGGUGUGAAUUUUCGAGACCUCUGGCACCGUUCUAAGAUGGGUCCUCUCUUCGUAGGCUAAUGCAUUGGCCCUUUUUGACCCGUUUUGGGGCGAAAACAAAAACUGACUCCCGGGCAUAUUUUUUUCGGCCUUUAUGGGCAGAGAACUUUAAUGCCGCUCAGAAUGAGGCCACCCAGUAGUUAGGUGUGAAUUUUCGAGACCUCUGGCACCGUUCUAAGAUGGGUCCUCUCUUCGUAGGGCUAAUGCAUUGGCCCUUUUUGACCCGUUUUGGGGCGAAAACAAAAACUGACUCCCGGGCAUAUUUUUUUCGGCCUUUAUGGGCAGAGAACUUUAAUACCGCUCAGAAUGAGGCCACCCAGUAGUUAGGUGUGAAUUUUCGAGACCUCUGGCACCGUUCUAAGAUGGGUCCUCUCUUCGUAGGCUAAUGCAUUGGCCCUUUUUGACCCGUUUUGGGGCGAAAACAAAAACUGACUCCCGGGCAUAUUUUUUUCGGCCUUUAUGGGCAGAGAACUUUAAUGCCGCUCAGAAUGAGGCCACCCAGUAGUUAGGUGUGAAUUUUCGAGACCUCUGGCACCGUUCUAAGAUGGGUCCUCUCUUCGUAGGCUAAUGCAUUGGCCCUUUUUGACCCGUUUUGGGGCGAAAACCAAAAACUGACUCCCGGGCAUAUUUUUUUCGGCCUUUAUGGGCAGAGAACUUUAAUACCGCUCAGAAUGAGGCCACCACCCAGUAGUUAGGUGUGAAUUUUCGAGACCUCUGGCACCGUUCUAAGAUGGGUCCUCUCUUCGUAGGCUAAUGCAUUGGCCCUUUUUGACCCGUUUUGGGGCGAAAACAAAAACUGACUCCCGGGCAUAUUUUUUUCGGCCUUUAUGGGCAGAGAAACUUUAAUGCCGCUCAGAAUGAGGCCACCCAGUAGUUAGGUGUGAAUUUUCGAGACCUCUGGCACCGUUCUAAGAUGGGUCCUCUCUUCGUAGGCUAAUGCAUUGGCCCUUUUUGACCCGUUUUGGGGCGAAAACAAAAACUGACUCCCGGGCAUAUUUUUUUCGGCCUUUAUGGGCAGAGAACUUUAAUACCGCUCAGAAUGAGGCCACCCAGUAGUUAGGUGUGAAUUUUCGAGACCUCUGGCACCGUUCUAAGAUGGGUCCUCUCUUCGUAGGCUAAUGCAUUGGCCCUUUUUGACCCGUUUUGGGGCGAAAACAAAAACUGACUCCCGGGCAUAUUUUUUUCGGCCUUUAUGGGCAAAGAACUUUAAUGCCGCUCAGAAUGAGGCCACCCAGUAGUUAGGUGUGAAUUUUCGAGACCUCUGGCACCGUUCUAAGAUGGGUCCUCUCUUCGUAGGCUAAUGCAUUGGCCCUUUUUGACCCGUUUUGGGGCGAAAAACAAAAACUGACUCCCGGGCAUAUUUUUUUCGGCCUUUAUGGGCAAAGAACUUUAAUGCCGCUCAGAAUGAGGCCACCCAGUAGUUAGGUGUGAAUUUUCGAGACCUCUGGCACCGUUCUAAGAUGGGUCCUCUCUUCGUAGGCUAAUGCAUUGGCCCUUUUUGACCCGUUUUGGGGCGAAAACAAAAAACUGACUCCCGGGCAUAUUUUUUUCGGCCUUUAUGGGCAGAGAACUUUAAUGCCGCUCAGAAUGAGGCCACCCAGUAGUUAGGUGUGAAUUUUCGAGACCUCUGGCACCGUUCUAAGAUGGGUCCUCUCUUCGUAGGCUAAUGCAUUGGCCCUUUUUGACCCGUUUUGGGGCGAAAACAAAAACUGACUCCCGGGCAUAUUUUUUUCGGCCUUUAUGGGCAGAGAACUUUAAUACCGCUCAGAAUGAGGCCACCCAGUAGUUAGGUGUGAAUUUUCGAGACCUCUGGCACCGUUCUAAGAUGGGUCCUCUCUUCGUAGGCUAAUGCAUUGGCCCUUUUUGACCCGUUUUGGGGCGAAAACAAAAACUGACUCCCGGGCAUAUUUUUUUCGGCCUUUAUGGGCAGAGAACUUUAAUACCGCUCAGAAUGAGGCCACCCAGUAGUUAGGUGUGAAUUUUCGAGACCCUCUGGCACCGUUCUAAGAUGGGUCCUCUCUUCGUAGGCUAAUGCAUUGGCCCUUUUUGACCCGUUUUGGGGCGAAAACAAAAACUGACUCCCGGGCAUAUUUUUUUCGGCCUUUAUGGGCAGAGAACUUUAAUACCGCUCAGAAUGAGGCCACCCAGUAGUUAGGUGUGAAUUUUCGAGACCUCUUGGCACCGUUCUAAGAUGGGUCCUCUCUUCGUAGGCUAAUGCAUUGGCCCUUUUUGACCCGUUUUGGGGCGAAAACAAAAACUGACUCCCGGGCAUAUUUUUUUCGGCCUUUAUGGGCAGAGAACUUUAAUGCCGCUCAGAAUGAGGCCACCCAGUAGUUAGGUGUGAAUUUUCGAGACCUCUGGCACCGUUCUAAGAUGGGUCCUCUCUUCGUAGGCUAAUGCAUUGGCCCUUUUUGACCCGUUUUGGGGCGAAAACAAAAACUGACUCCCGGGCAUAUUUUUUUCGGCCUUUAUGGGCAGAGAACUUUAAUACCGCUCAAAAAUGAGGCCACCCAGUAGUUAGGUGUGAAUUUUCGAGACCUCUGGCACCGUUCUAAGAUGGGUCCUCUCUUCGUAGGCUAAUGCAUUGGCCCUUUUUGACCCG